rnacentral:piRNA from 1 species
UGGGUUUAUGCUACAGUGUACAUAUGGUGG